GUGCCAGCCGCCGCGGUAACACCGGCAGCCCAAGUGGUGGCCGCUUUUAUUGGGCCUAAAGCGUCCGUAGCCGGCCAGGUAAGUCCCUGUGUAAAUCUUCAGGCUUAACUUGAAGAAUUGCGGGGAUACUGCUUGGCUUGGGGCCGGAAGACGUGGAGGGUACUCCGGGGGUAGCGGUGAAAUGCUGUAAUCCUCGGGGGACCACCAGUGGCGAAGGCUCUCCACGAGGACGGGCCCGACGGUGAGGGACGAAAGCCAGGGGCGCGAACGGGAUUAGAUACCCCGGUAGUCCUGGCCGUAAACGCUGCAGGCUUGGUGUUGCACGCUCUACGGGGGCGUGCAGUGCCGAAGCGAAGGCGAUAAGCCUGCCGCCUGGGAAGUGCGCUCGCAAGAGUGAAACUCAAAUGAAUUGACGG
rnacentral:rRNA from 1 species